AAAUAUUCCAGAACCGCCGACGGGUGCGAUGUGGGGACGGAGAAGGUUAUGCGAGCCGGCUGUUGGACGUGCCUGUGAAGCGUGUAGGCAGAUCCUUUAGGGAAAUCCGGGGGGUCGUCAAUGCCAAGGCGCGGGACCAGGGGAGUUCUACUCUCUGAAGUCGCAGAUACCAUGCUUCCAGGAAAAGCCACUAAGCUUCAGCCCGUUGGGACCGUACCGCAAACCGACACAGGUGGGCAGGAUGAAAAUUCUCAGGCGCUUGAGAGAACUCAGGAGAAGGAACUCGGCAAAUUGACACCGUAACUUCGGGAGAAGGUGUGCCUUUGGUAGGUGAUGGGGAUUUACUCUCCAGAGCUGAAAAAGGCCGCAGAGAAUCGGUGGCUGCAACUGUUUAUCAAAAACACAGCACUCUGCUAAGACGUUGGAAGUCGACGUAUAGGGUGUGACGCCUGCCCGGUGCCGGAAGGUUAAGUGAUGGGGUGAAAGCUCUUGAUCGAAGCCCCGGUAAACGGCGGCCGUAACAAUAACGGUCCUAAGGUAGCGAAAUUCCUUGUCGGGUAAGUUCCGACCCGCACGAAUGGCGUAAUGAUGGCCACACUGUCUCCUCCUGAGACUCAGCGAAGUUGAAAUGUUUGUGAAGAUGCAAUCUUCCCGCGGCUAGACGGAAAGACCCCAUGAACCUUUACUGUAGCUUUGCAUUGGACUGUGACGUUGUCUGUGUAGGAUAGCUGGGAGGCUUUGAAGCCGGGUCGCUAGACUCGGUGGAGCCGACGUUGAAAUACCAGCCUGACGACGUUGCGGUUCUAACCUGGGCCCCUUGACGGGGUCGGGGACCGUGCAUGGUAGGCAGUUUGACUGGGGCGGUCUCCUCCCAAAGGGUAACGGAGGAGUGCGAAGGUCACCUAGGUACGGUCGGAAAUCGUACUCAUAGUGCAAUGGCAUAAGGUGGCUUGACUGCGAGACCGACAAGUCGAGCAGGUGCGAAAGCAGGUCAUAGUGAUCCGGUGAUUCUGAAUGGAAGGGUCAUCGCUCAACGGAUAAAAGGUGCUCUGGGGAUAACAGGCUGAUUCCUCCCAAGAGUUCAUAUCGACGGGGGAGUUUGGCACCUCGAUGUCGGCUCAUCACAUCCUGGGGCUGUAGCCGGUCCCAAGGGUAUGGCUGUUCGCCAUUUAAAGUGGUACGUGAGCUGGGUUCAAAACGUCGUGAGACAGUUUGGUCCCUAUCUGCCGUGGGCGUUGGAGAUUUGACGGGGGCUGCUCCUAGUACGAGAGGACCGGAGUGGACGUAUCCCUGGUGUACCGGUUGUCACGCCAGAGGCAUCGCCGGGUAGCUAUAUACGGAAGAGAUAACCGCUGAAAGCAUCUAAGCGGGAAACUUGCCUGAAGAUGAGAUCUCCCGGGAGCUUGACUCCCCUGAAGGGUCGUCCGAGACCAGGACGUUGAUAGGCUGGGUGUGUAAGCGCAGCAAUGCGUUGAGCUAACCAGUACUAAUUGCCCGUGCGGCUUGACUCG
rnacentral:rRNA from 1 species